rnacentral:rRNA from 1 species
UACGGAGGGUGCAAGCGUUAUCCGGAUUCACUGGGUUUAAAGGGUGCGUAGGCGGGCAUUUAAGUCAGUGGUGAAAUACCUGAGCUUAACUUGGGAACUGCCAUUGAUACUAUUUGUCUUGAAUGUCGUGGAGGUUAGCGGAAUAUGUCAUGUAGCGGUGAAAUGCUUAGAUAUGACAUAGAACACCGAUAGCGAAGGCAGCUUGCUACACAAUUAUUGACACUGAGGCACGAAGCGUGGGGAUCAAACAGG